AGAGUGCUAAGGAUUGAGGGAUUAAGAGGAGGUGAUUGUAUUAUUCCUCUUUUCAGAUAAUUGAGAGAGAGAAGAGAACAGCAGUAGCCAUUGCCAGAAAUAUUGACAUGUGGUGUUAGCGCGGAGACAGGAAAGAGAGAAAGACAACAUCAUGCUUUGCUGUCUGUGUGUGAACUGAGUAACAGCUGUGAAGGAUCAGUCACCAAAAGACUUUGAAAGAAGAGGCUUGAUUGGUCACGGUAAUGAUGCUCCUCUGCCAUGGAACUUUAAUAGGGAGAAAAGAACAUCUGCUUAUAUGAAAACAUUAUAUUCAGCCAUCCCUGCCCUGACUUUGGCCUUUAAAA
rnacentral:lncRNA from 1 species